AGAGUUUGAUCCUGGCUCAGGAUGAACGCUAGCGGCAGGCUUAACACAUGCAAGUCGAGGGGCAGCAUAAUGGUAGUAAUACUAUUGAUGGCGACCGGCGGACGGGUGCGUAACGCGUAUGCAACCUACCCUUUACAGGGGGAUAACACUGAGAAAUCGGUACUAAUACCCCAUAAUAUUCUGGGAGGCAUCUUUCGGAGUUGAAAGCUUUGGUGGUAAAGGAUGGGCAUGCGUUGUAUUAGCUAGUUGGUAAGGUAACGGCUUACCAAGGCGACGAUACAUAGGGGGACUGAGAGGUUAACCCCCCACAUUGGUACUGAGACACGGACCAAACUCCUACGGGAGGCAGCAGUGAGGAAUAUUGGUCAAUGGACGGAAGUCUGAACCAGCCAUGCCGCGUGCAGGAAGACGGCUCUAUGAGUUGUAAACUGCUUUUGUACGAGGGUAAACGCAGAUACGUGUAUCUGCCUGAAAGUAUCGUACGAAUAAGGAUCGGCUAACUCCGUGCCAGCAGCCGCGGUAAUACGGAGGAUCCAAGCGUUAUCCGGAUUUAUUGGGUUUAAAGGGUGCGUAGGCGGUUUGAUAAGUUAGAGGUGAAAUCCCGGGGCUUAACUCCGGAACUGCCUCUAAUACUGUUAGACUAGAGAGUAGUUGCGGUAGGCGGAAUGUAUGGUGUAGCGGUGAAAUGCUUAGAGAUCAUACAGAACACCGAUUGCGAAGGCAGCUUACCAAACUAUAUCUGACGUUGAGGCACGAAAGCGUGGGGAGCAAACAGGAUUAGAUACCCUGGUAGUCCACGCAGUAAACGAUGAUAACUCGUUGUCGGCGAUACACAGUCGGUGACUAAGCGAAAGCGAUAAGUUAUCCACCUGGGGAGUACGUUCGCAAGAAUGAAACUCAAAGGAAUUGACGGGGGCCCGCACAAGCGGAGGAACAUGUG
rnacentral:rRNA from 1 species